AACUUUUCCUGUGGCCUAGUGGUUAGAGCGUUCGCCUGAUGCGGGAGGUCCUGGGUUCAAUUCUCGGUCGAGUCA